AGGAUGAACGCUGGCGGCGUGCUUAACACAUGCAAGUCGAACGAUGAAGGCUGGAGCUUGCUCUGGCUGGAUUAGUGGCGAACGGGUGAGUAACACGUGAGUAACCUGCCCCAGACUCUGGGAUAAGCGCUGGAAACGGCGUCUAAUACCGGAUACGAGCUUCCACCGCAUGGUGAGGAGCUGGAAAGAAUUUCGGUCUGGGGAUGGACUCGCGGCCUAUCAGCUUGUUGGUGAGGUAAUGGCUCACCAAGGCGACGACGGGUAGCCGGCCUGAGAGGGUGACCGGCCACACUGGGACUGAGACACGGCCCAGACUCCUACGGGAGGCAGCAGUGGGGAAUAUUGCACAAUGGGCGCAAGCCUGAUGCAGCAACGCCGCGUGAGGGACGAAGGCCUGGUGU
rnacentral:rRNA from 1 species